GACGAACGCUGGCGGCGUGCUUAACACAUGCAAGUCGAACGCUGAAGCCCUUCGGGGUGGAUGAGUGGCGAACGGGUGAGUAACACGUGGGUAAUCUGCCCUGCACUCUGGGAUAAGCCUUGGAAACGGGGUCUAAUACCGGAUAGGACACAUCGCCGCAUGGUGUGUGUGUGGAAAGUUCCGGCGGUGCAGGUUGAGCCCGCGGCCUAUCAGGUUGUUGGGGGGGUGAUGGCCUACCAAGGCGACGACGGGUAGCCGGCCUGGGGGGGUGACCGGCCACACUGGGACUGAGACACGGCCCAGACUCCUACGGGAGGCAGCAGUGGGGAAUCUUGCGCAAUGGGCGAAAGCCUGACGCAGCAACGCCGCGUGGGGGAUGACGGCCUUCGGGUUGUAAACCUCUUUCGACCGGGACGAAGGAUUCGUUUGACGGUACCGGUAGAAGAAGCACCGGCUAACUACGUGCCAGCCGCCGCCGUAA
rnacentral:rRNA from 1 species